rnacentral:lncRNA from 1 species
GUAAAUGAGACUUAAAAAAAACGGAAAAUACUUUUCUCUCUCUCUCUCUGCAAAGUAGGUUGUCGGAGAACAGUGAGCUUCACCGGAACAACCUUGUCCUCAACCACCAGCCUUCCAAGACCACCAACGCCACCAGUCACUUUCGCUUAUGAAACUCCCUCUCCUCAGCUAUGGUGAAGGACGAGGUUGAUCGCUCCGGUGACAAGGUGACAACUUAGGAUUUGUGGAGAGAGAAAGGAGUCAGCAAUGGUUAAGGACGAGGUUGAUCGUUCCGGUGACAGCUUGCAAUUCUCAAGGCAAUCACCUAGGGUAUGUUUGUUUACCCGUUUGGAGUUCCAAACGGCCAUUCAGGGAGCAUCGAACGCCACUCUCAUGUGUUUGACAAUUUUUUUUUCCGUUACGUUGAAUGCAAUUAUAGUGAAAACGUACUUUUAAUCCAAAGCAAUAUGUGGCUUACUUUUCCGUUCAACGCUCUCUAAUUUUUCUUCGCCUCAAAUAUGUUGUAUGUAUUUAAUUUUAUUUUUUAUAUUAAUUUUUAUUUCUAAUAUUAAUUAAAAAUGUAUUUUAUAUG